GUGGCUGAAACAAAGGUGGUGGGGUGAGGAGGGAGUUAAUAAUUAUGGAGUGGGCAUGACUAUCUUGCCAGGUUUUCCUAUUUCGAUUUUCUUCACCUGGAAUUGAGACUUGGCUGUGCUCAAUCACUUACGCCAACAUGCAGCAUUCUCCUCCGGCCCACACAGCGUGGUGCAGGCAGACAAAGUAAAUUUUUCCACCAGAUCAGAGAAGGCGAUACUUACCACCAGUGGAAAACCAGCCUGUGGCCCAUCCAAGACUAGAAGGAGAAGAUGUGAACUUAAUUUUCAAUUCUGAUUCCUCUGAUUCUCAAUGUCAAGAGUUAAGCAGUAUCUACUGGCCUCCCGGAUGAAGAAAGCAGCUAUCUUAACUUCUUCCCAUCAUCAGCCACAUACAGUGGGCUCAGAGCAAGAGCACCAUCAUCAUGCAUCAUCUUUGGGUUGAUGGAGAGUAUCUCCUCAUAGAAAGGACAAGUUCACUGGUACAAUAUCCAUGACAGUGUCAGCUUGGAGGAAUGUGCUUCCAGCACACACAGCAUGCAGCAGCAGAUCUGCAUCAUCCCUCAGCUAUUGUGAAGGAGAGUCUAUCAGAGGAAGGCACAGCAGUGAAUGUCUGAAACAGGUGUCACUACUGAAGAAUUCUCUCUGAGAGUAAUCAGCUUCCCGUGGAGUAACUUUCUUCUCCUGGAAAUGAAGUCUCAGCAUCAUGAGUAACCAGCCUGUCACAGUAGCCAGAGGAUUCUCCCACACAGGACCUGCUGAAUAAUACCAUACUGGUGCUAACUCUUCCUGCAACUCAUGCAAGGCUGAUAGCUAACUAUCUUGGUGAAUUUAUUUUUAUUGCAAGUAUUGGAAAACAGUUCUAGUGAGCUAGUUAAAAAGGACAUUUGUUGGAAGGAUACCAAAGCCUUCCUUAGGAAUUCAAAGAAAAGUUAAAAAUCCAGUUCCUUAAGAUACAGGACCGAAGAGAUAGUGUCAAGGAGGCUGCUAGGAGCCCAGUGGGACAGGUGAAUUGGACAAAUCAUAGAACCCAAUACACAGGUUGGGCAGUCAGUCACCUGGUGGGGUCUAAUAGUACCAACUAUUAUAAUAGCUUCCUAACUGCUUAAACUUUGAUCUGUUCUUUCCUUCUUCUUCUCUUCAGUGGGGAUAUUGUGGCCACCCUAUUUACUUUAAUUUUAAAAUUACUUUUUCCUUAUAUUAUAGUAAUUACAAUACUAUUUAUCUGUAGUGCUAAAUAUAUUAUCAUUUACAGAUUUCACAUGAAAAAAUUUCCUCUUAUUUUCUAUAUUAUUUGCUUAUGUUGACUCCUGAGACUAAAGGUUUUCCACAUGAUCAAACAAUUUUUAUAACUAACUCACUCUGGUCAUGGAAGAUAGCUUUCUCUCCAUCACAGUGAAUCAAAAAAUUCUCUUCAACUCUGAAAGCUUAUAACCGAUGGGAUUUUUUCUUUGUGACAAGAAUAUCCCCAAACCUAAGAAACCCGGAUUUGAGCAAUUUAGUUUCUUUCUUUCAAAUAUUUCGUUUCCAAAUAAAAUAAUUUUAAAAGCAAUUAUUUCAUCAAUACAUCUCCCCGAAUGGAUGCACAUGAAACUAAUGCUUAAUUACUAAUCACAUAAAGUCAUAAAUUCAUCUUUUUCCAAAAUAAUAGGAUUUAUUUAAGAAUUUAUUUAUGAAUUACUGAUGGAAAAUCAACAGUUUGUUUGGAACUACUUAAGUCUAUGCAUUUCAGAUAUGGUGAAUUUCUGUUUGUGGCCAAAGGAUGCAAAACUUAUUCCUUACAACCCUAGACAUUGUAAAAAAAAAAAUUAUCCUACAUCUAAGAAGUAGACCUAUUUAAGGACUGAAAAUAAAACAAAGCCUUAUUGAAGGCAGUUUCUCCAGCUACACUAUUUACUGGUGUGCUUGCCAACAUGAAUCCAAAGUGCUCUUUCUGGGGAGUCAUCACAUCCAUGUUCCAAAGGUUUAAAAAUCCUUGCAGAGAGGAAAGUCAGUAAUGUGGUCUUUCUCUUUUCUCUGAUUUUACUGGGUCAAAAGAAAAACCUGUAAACAGAGCUUGCUUUAAUCAUCUGCCAAACACAUGGACCCAAGGUUUUCUUCCAAGGGGAGGAGGUCUUGUGGUCAGUCCAAGGGAACAGUACCCACAAGGAGGGAAAAAUAUGCUUCAGGAAGCACCUUCUUCUUAGGUGUACAUACAUUCAACAUUUUUAACUCUCUUGGAAGAUAAUAUUCAGAAGGCAAGAGGCAUCAAUAGUAAAGAAAUAAGCUAUUGGUAGAGAGCACGGAGGCAAUAUAAUAUUUCAUCUAUUCUCAAUAUGGCACUGCACAUGCUUAUAAAUUAACAUGGGUCUGAAAGAAAUCAGGCUGUGGUCAAAUAAAAAUUUGAACUUAAAAUGCCUUAAAACAUGUUUCUAAUCGAUUAUAGGUUUUUGCAUAGAAGCUUUAGAAGGAUAUUACGGUUUGGAAAUAUUUAUAAUCAUAAAGCAAUAAAGCAAAAGGGCAUGAAGAGAGACAUCAGUACCAUGCUCUGGUUUAGCAGAUGAGAACUAGAGAAAUGAGUUCCUCCAAAUGACCUGGUCGUUAUUUAGGAGGUUGUAAACCAGAAUUGGAUUUCACGACUUUUAAUAGUAUUUUCCAGUUCAUUUGGAUUGAAGUAUGAAUUCUGAUUUAAGGAUUUGUGAAAACAAUUUGCAAUUCCACCAUCAAAUAUGGUCUGUGAACUCUUUAUGCUAUGAGAUUUCAUGGAGGACAUUAAAAAGAGUAGGAUAAUCUCUGCCCUAACUAAUCUGUGAAUUAAAUAAUAAUAUGAAUAUCAGGUUCCAUCAGUCAUAGAAAGUGAAAUUCUUAGUAAUAUUUUGCAUAAAUUAAUCGAAUUAAUAAAUUUGAUUAGAACUUUAUAUUUACUUCUAUUCAAAAGCAGAAUGCAGUUAAAUAUGUGCAAUGAUAACCUUGGAAAAAGGAAGCAAUUUGUUCAGGCUUAGUUUCCUUACUUGUAUCAUAGGGAAAAUAAUUGCUACUUGCUAUGAUUGACAGAAGUCUUCAAUAAGAUAACUUCUACAUGUGUAUUGACUUAUUGACAGAAGUUAUCCAUAAGGUAACUUCUACAUGUGUAAACUUGUUCCAUCUACAUUGUGGAUGCUAGUUUCCUUGAGGAAUAACUAAUAUUCUUUUAGGAAUAUUAAAAUCCUCAUAAUUUCAUGACUUCAAUUCUUUAGGAUGAGACAUAGCAUAAAUUCAUUGACACACAAAGAACUCAGAAAUGAAUUCAAAGACAUUGGUUAAGAAUAUUAAUUUAGUUCUCCUUAAUUUUAUUUGGACUUGUCAAACGGCUAUACAAGUUCAGAUCUCCAAUCUUUUGUGUGUCAUUCCUUUAUGAGGCUGGCUUUCAGCUUUGGUAGGUAAGGGCAUUCGCCCCUCAGUACUUGAGUUAUUUCUUCAAAUACCUACUGAUCCGGGGCUCUCCUCAAAAUUAUGUCCAUGAGCAAUUUGUCAAUGUGACCUUAUUUAGAAAUAAGUUCUUUAUAGAUGUAAUCAAGUUGAGGUCAUACUGAAUUACUGUGGGCCCCAAAUUCACUAUGACUAUUGUCCUUGUAACAAGGGUCAUUAGAGAUACAGAAGAUGCAGAUAAAGAAUGCUCAGGGUUGCAGCAAUCACCAGAACAAAGACAGAUCCUUCACUAGAGGUUUCAGAGAGAACCUGUCCCUGCUGACUUUUUGGUAUUGGACAUCUGGACUCUAAGAACUGCCAGAGAAUAUACUUCUCUUCUUGAAAGACACUCAGUUUGUGGUAAUUUGUUACAGCAACCCCAGGAAACUAAUGCACUGGCUCGUCUGAAGGUCAUGAGGUUUGCCAGUGAUUCUGUAGACCAUCCUCUGUACUAUACCAGUUUGAAUGGAAUUCCCUUAAUUUUCCAGCCUUGAUACAGGAUUUGGAUUUCUGUAAUCUACACCAUCCCUAUUAUUUCCUUCAGAGAAAGAAUGAUGAAAAAUGAUGUCACCUCAAGUCUCUCUUCCAAGGAGUCCAGACUUAUAUUCUUCUCUUCGACAUUAUGACUUAGACUCUCUUUGGGACCAGACAAGUUCCCAGUCCUAAUGAAGCAGAGAACUGCAAAAUCCAGAAUGCCUUGGAGAAGUAUCAUUAGUGAGCAAUUAUGACAACUGGGAAUUUUAGGCAAGAACAUAUUUAUGGUUAAUUUGCCUUCUGGAUAUUAAAGUGAGUUUUAGCAUUUGGACCUUCCCUAUUUGAACUUCCUCAUUAAUCCCUUUCUAUAGAGAAGGUGCAUAAGACAUGGUGUGAGAAGUGGGUUUCUAUUCACUGGAGUGCACUGUAGUUUCUCAGUUAAUGUCAGACUAAGCUCAUAUAUGCCAUCUUGGGUGAGUGUGACAUAUUUGACUUCAUUCAUAUGAUAUUAAUAUUAAAUGUAAAGGGCAGUAUAUUAAAAUGUAUAAUAUAGAGUAAACCUCCUUAAUAUUUACUAGCCAUAUAAAGAGUAUAUGCACGUAAACAUUUAAUAUUAAUCAGUAUAUUUCAUCUGUCUUUUCCAUUCCAGUCUUCACUCCAUUAAAAAACAAUUGCAGGAAACUUCCAUUUGGGCCUCUGGGUCAUUCCUCAUUCAAAAAGUCCUUUCAACAAACAAAGCUGUGUGCAGCCCUGAGCUGGAACAAAAAACUACAAAAAAUGAAGGCCAAACAUAGUUCUAUGUUUCAGAACUAAUAUUUCUAUAAUGGGCAAACACACACACACACACACACACACACACACACACACACACUUAGGACAAAAUGGAAAAGGACUGUGUAUAUGAAGAAAAAAGAUCAAUUAGCUCUUCAUGAGAGAGUCAAAUCAAUCUUCAGAGAUAAAAUGUGAAUAUGUGAACUGGUCUUAGGAAGUGAGAAGGUGUGAGAAGGGCCAGGGGAAGGUCUGCAAAAGUAGGUUCUUAAACUCAUGUCCUGUCCAAGCAACACUGUUUUCAGACCCGAUUAAUCUACCUGCAGCACAGUUCUGCACAUCCCUUGUCAUAUCUCUCCUGCCCUUACUCUGUACCUGUUGCUUCCAUAGCAACGUUUUGACACCUCAGCUGGAAUUUAAGACAUUCCAUAAUCAUAUUUCAAUUUUAUUUCUGUUUUUUCCUAUCCCCUACUCUGCUCCCUCUGCCCAGCAUUUCCUAGGACGUUGCCUUCAUACCUGCAAGUUUCUAAUUCUACUUCCUUUAACCAUUUUCAUCCAGUUUCCAAUAUUUCAGAACCCAGCUUAACAUCACCUCCUCCAGAAAUUCUUCUUUUUACUUUCAGUAGAAACCACUUUCUCCAUUCCUCUCUCAUGAUGCGUGUGAUGAAUUGUAUUAUAUUUCUCAAAUAUUUGCAGCCUUUGCAAUGGUGUCUAUCCCCAUGUCUUCUCCCUGGUGCUCUGCUGACAUCAGAGGGGGCCAAUGACGUUCCCUAGUCAAUGGAACCUGAGAGAAAGUGGUGUGCCAUUUCUAUACAGAAGCUCUCUGUGCUGUUCCACCUGAUGCUGCCAUAAAGCCAACAUGUCCCACAGGGGCCAUUCCUUCUGCCUGAUUCCAGGGAUGAUGGCAACAUGGAACAGAAGAGCAGCUGAGCAUGAAGUACUGUUACUGCAUGAGAACUGUUGAGGCUACUUGUAGUUGUAUUAUCAAUGAAUAGUCUACUGUAAGAUCAUCUGUAUGACAGGCCUUAUUUUCCUUCAUAAAAGAUCAAUAUUUGUA